UGGAGAUGUCAUUAGUCUAGGGGUUCACAUACUUUUUCCACCUGCACUGUGAAUGCUUACAUGGUGUGUUCAAUAAAAACAUGGCCACAUUUCAUUCUUUGUGUGUUAUUAGUUUAAGCAGACUGUGAUUGUCUAUUGUUGUGACUUAGAUGAUGAUCAGAUCACAUUUUAUGACCAAUUUGUGCAGAAAUCCAUAUCAUUCCAAAGGGUUCACAUACUUUUUCUU